rnacentral:rRNA from 1 species
ACAUGCUUACAACAUAGCGUCAAUGCACCAGAUCCCAUUAGAACUUCGUAGUUAAGUGCACUCAGGCUAGAGUAGUACUGGGAUGGGUGACCACCUGGAAAGUCCUAGUAUUUUACACGCC